GAUGAACGCUGGCGGCGUGCCUAAUACAUGCAAGUCGAGCGAACAGAUGAGGAGCUUGCUCCUCUGACGUUAGCGGCGGACGGGUGAGUAACACGUGGAUAACCUACCUAUAAGACUGGGAUAACUUCGGGAAACCGGAGCUAAUACCGGAUAAUAUAUUGAACCGCAUGGUUCAAUAGUGAAAGACGGUUUUGCUGUCACUUAUAGAUGGAUCCGCGCCGCAUUAGCUAGUUGGUAAGGUAACGGCGUACCAAGGCAACGAUGCGUAGCCGACCUGAGAGGGUGAUCGGCCACACUAGAACUGAGACACGGUCCAGACUCCUACGGGAGGCAGCAGUAGGGAAUCUUCCGCAAUGGGCGAAAGCCUGACGGAGCAACGCCGCGUGAGUGAUGAAGGUCUUCGGAUCGUAAAACUCUGUUAUUAGGGAAGAACAAAUGUGUAAGUAACUAUGCACGUCUUGACGGUACCUAAUCAGAAAGCCACGGCUAACUACGUG
rnacentral:rRNA from 1 species